AUUGAACGCUGGCGGAAUGCUUUACACAUGCAAGUCGAACGGCAGCACGGGAGCAAUCCUGGUGGCGAGUGGCGAACGGGUGAGUAAUAUAUCGGAACGUGCCCAGUCGUGGGGGAUAACGUAGCGAAAGCUACGCUAAUACCGCAUACGAUCUAUGGAUGAAAGCGGGGGAUCGCAAGACCUCGCGCGAUUGGAGCGGCCGAUAUCAGAUUAGGUAGUUGGUGAGGUAAAGGCUCACCAAGCCGACGAUCUGUAGCUGGUCUGAGAGGACGACCAGCCACACUGGGACUGAGACACGGCCCAGACUCCUACGGGAGGCAGCAGUGGGGAAUUUUGGACAAUGGGCGCAAGCCUGAUCCAGCAAUGCCGCGUGCAGGAUGAAGGCCUUCGGGUUGUAAACUGCUUUUGUACGGAACGAAACGGUGAGCUCUAAUACAGUUUGCUAAUGACGGUACCGUAAGAAUAAGCACCGGCUAACUACGUG
rnacentral:rRNA from 1 species